CUGCCAGACUCCUACGGGAGGCAGCAGUGGGGGAUAUUGGACAAUGGGGGGAACCCUGAUCCAGCGAUGCCGCGUGAGGGAAGAAGGUUUUCGGAUUGUAAACCUCUGUGGACAGGGACGAUAAUGACGGUACCUGUCAAGAAAGCCACGGCUAACUACGUGCCAGCAGCCGCGGUAAUACGUAGGGGGCAAGCGUUAUCCGGAUUUACUGGGUGUAAAGGGAGCGUAGACGGCAGCGCAAGUCUGAAGUGAAAUCCCAUGGCUUAACCAUGGAACUGCUUUGGAAACUGUGCAGCUGGAGUGCAGGAGAGGUAAGCGGAAUUCCUAGUGUAGCGGUGAAAUGCGUAGAUAUUAGGAGGAACACCAGUGGCGAAGGCGGCUUACUGGACGGUAACUGACGUUGAGGCUCGAAAGCGUGGGGAGCAAACAGGAUUAGAUACCCUCGUAAUA
rnacentral:rRNA from 1 species